rnacentral:rRNA from 1 species
GACGAACGCUGGCGGCGUGCUUAACACAUGCAAGUCGAACGAAGUGGCGAACGGGUGAGUAACGCGUAAUCAACCUGCCCUUCAGAGGGGGUCAACAGUUGGAACCGACUGCUAAUACCCCUUACUGAUGGAGGGGUUUGCGUGUGAUUAGCUAGUGGGAGGGGUAACGGCUCACCAAGGAGAUGAUCAGUCGACGGUCUGAGAGGAUGACCGGCCACACUGGAACUGAGACACGGCCCAGACUCCUACGGGAGGCAGCAGUGGGGAAUCUUCCGCAAUGGACGAAAGCCUGACGUAGCAACGCCGCGUGUGUGAUGACGGCCUUCGGGUUGUAAAGCUCUGUUAAUCGGGACGCGGUACCGGAAAAGAAAGCCAGGGCUAACUACGUGCCAGCAGCCGCGGAAAUU